CUGGCUCAGGAUGAACGCUAGCGGCGUGCCUAAUACAUGCAAGUCGAACGGGUUAGAGACUCGGUUUUAACCUAGUGGCGGACGGGUGAGUAACGCGUGAGCAACCUGACUCAAAGAGGGGGACAACAGCUGGAAACGGCUGCUAAUACCGCAUAAGACCACGGAGCGGCAUCGCUCAGGGGUCAAAGAUUUAUCGCUUUGGAGAGGGGCUCGCGUCCCAUUAGAUAGUUGGUGAGGUAACGGCCCACCAAGUCAACGAUGGGUAGCCGAGCUGAGAGGCUGAUCGGCCACACUGGAACUGAGACACGGUCCAGACUCCUACGGGAGGCAGCAGUAGGGAAUAUUGGGCAAGUGGGCGCAAGCCUGACCCAGCAACGCCGCGUGAGGGAAGAAGGUUUUCGGAUUGUAAACCUCUGUCCUAUGUGACGAAGGAAGUGACGGUAGCAUAGGAGGAAGCCCCGGCUAACUACGUGCCAGCCGCUGC
rnacentral:rRNA from 1 species